GGCCUAGCCGCCGCCUCCUCCCGUUGUUCCGCACUCGCUCGUCCCUCCUCCUCCUCUACGCCUCAUCCACCCAACCCCUAACCCUAGCAGCUCCCCGCGCCGCCGCCGCCGCCGUCUCCUUCGCCCAGCCCGCCAGACCCUCGCCGUACUCUUCCUAGGCGUCGUCGCCGUCGUCCACCACCACCACCACUGCGCCCCCACCCUCUCCCCAUCCCCGCCGGCCCCCACCCUCUCCCAAUUCCCUCACCUUCUCUCCCAUGGCCAGUGGAUUGGCCCCUCGCGGGAUCAAUUCCUCUGAGCCAGCGGUCUACAGGGCCGGACGGGAGCGGCAUGUCCCCCGUCUGCGCGUUGGUGGCGGCGGUCCUGCGGGUUGAGGCUGAACCCCAACGAUAUUUGGCGCUGUGUCGAGUACUUCCUUUGCCAGCGCCACCCCCCACCCCUUCUCCUCCGUGUUCCUCUCACUGCCCAUCUCGCGCCGCUGCUGCACCAUAGGAGUGAAAUGCCUAUGCCACAAGUUCCUCUCCCUUUCUCUCCCUCCCUCACAUUCUCUCUUCCUCUCUCUCGGCUGAUUUGCGGCUUGAUCUAUUGUUUUUGAGGUUGCUGCUCCCGGUUGGUUGCAAGGAUACGUGUUGCGGUGGUCAAUUUGUCCUAUGAAGGUUUGUCUUCAACCUUUGGAGGUUUGUCUUCGACUAUGCUCCGAGAGGUGUCACGAUCUGAGAGGAUACAGUGGGAUAGCUCUAUCUGCUAGAGUGCUAGAUGCCAGCGAUGUGAUUAGGCGCACAUAUACGAGUAUGUUUAUGACGACACCUACACCAGUCGUUGUCGUUGUUGUUUUUGCCUGUUGCCUCCCUUGAAAAUCACUUCGCUAGGUUGAAAAAGAGUAUGUUGAUCCGGAGCCUGAGCAAGCUAUAUUAGCACCCCCAGCCAACAAUUUGAGGCAGGGAAUGAGUUCGGAGCUGCUAGGCAGAGUUUUCAUAGAUGAAACGGGCAUGGAGGCGCAUCGUCGCAGGCCGAGGUUUCAGAUUGCUCCAAAUGAUAAAGGGAAGGAGCUGAUAGAGGAAGAAGGUUUGCUCUCGGUUCUGUUGGCAAGGGAUCUUUGGUCAUGAAUCCAUUGUAAAUGGCAAUAGUCGAGCACCAAGGGACAAUCGAAAUUACUAUCAUGAUAUUUCAGGUCUCAUGAGAGAAGAUUGGUGACCAUGCUUUCAAUUUGGUACUUGAGUAGGACUGAGAGAGUAUAUGACUUUGGUAGGUCCUAGCCCCAAAGAUCAUAUAUGUUUCCCUGAUGAAAUAUAUGAUGAGGAUGGAUUAGGAGGAAACCUGGUUUGAAUCUGACUUCCUGUACUAGGCUAGCUAAGUGGCCUUUCAAAUAUUUUUCUUUUUUUUGACUCCUCAAAUGUUCUUCAGAGUACAUCUUUAUUUGUUGGAUAGAUAAUAACAUGAUAUUUGGUCCGCCAUGAUUCCUCAAACUGUGUGCUUGAACUUUUUCUGAUCCACUUCUUGUUUGUGCCCCAGGUCUUCUCCCCAAAUCUUGCUUUCUCUCUGUUUUAGUGAAAAUUAACCUAGAUUUACAUUUGUUUUCUCAUGAUGUGGUGUUCUUCAAUUUUGCAGGAACUGCUCACAUAUCAAAUUUGAGUUGUACAUUCAUCUAUUGUUGUUCUCAUGUUGCCUCCUAUGUGUCUUUCUAGGUUAUUACCUGUAUUUUUUGGUAAUAUAUACCGCAAGUCCAUAUAUAUUGCAAGGUUGGAUGUUAUUACCUGUUUGUCAGAUGUAUUUUAAGAUGAUGUGCUUUGUUUUCAUGGCUACACACAGAGCCUUUUUUGUUAAAUGACUUCUGCUGGUUGUGUUUGGUGGCGAUGGAAGAGGAUGCCUGAAUAUGUGUGAAUAAUGGCGAAUGUUAGAUACAUUUAUUUAAUUUUCCAUGCAAGACUGUUCUCUGUUGGAAUAUUUCUUUUCGCAUGCUGUUUAUCCCUUUACACUGAAGAACUGCAUUGUUGAAUCCAAAGGUAGCUAAAUCAUGGGAAUGUUAAGUUGCAUAUUUAUCGAUAUGGGUGUGGAUUAUUAUACUUCAUUGUGAUUUUUAUUAGAAAGUGUAAUAUCAGUGACGUGAACUUCUAAUUAGUCAGCCAAAUAACUCAUGUACGUUGUUAAUCUGAAGGCAAAUUACACAGUUAUCUAUAAUACUGUAGUUGCAUCAUUUUCCUGCUCAAGUAUCAACUGGAUGAUAUGUUGCUCUCACUUUCAUAUUAUCAUGAUGACGCCUGUCAAGUAUUGUCCACUACUAAUUGCAUUAGCUUCGCCUCAGAACGUGGAAAGAGAAAGUAGAGUUAUCAGUAGUGAUCAACUAUAACGUACCGUAGAUAUUGAUGUUUCCAGAGCAUCGUUUCCAAUUGUCUCUUGUUUUUAUGAGCGGAUACAACAUAUCAUGUAACACUUAUUCUUACACUUGCUGAUAUGAACUACCUGGCAAUAUUUUAUAGAAUUUAUGUCUUUAUGUUUUGUACUACUCGAUACAAACCAGUUGUCCUCGGCAAACAUUUGGCUUGCUUUUGGUACAAAAUUUCCCUUUAUGAUCUGUAGUGAAAUUGCAGUUAUCCUGGGUAACAACUACACUUUGCUUUUGGUAUAUAUUUAAUCUCUAUGCCCUAUAUUCAACUCAGUCAUCAUGGGCAGCAACUAUACCUUGCUCUUGAUAUAUCUUUGUAGUGUUUGUGAUAUAUACUGAACACAUUUAUUUUGUUCGGUUAUUUUAAUUCCUUUGGAUGUUCUAAACGCAUUGUUAUAUCGAGGUUUUAAGAUACUGGGUCACCGUGCCGAGCCAGGCAACGCGCGCUUCCGAUCUUAGCAUUGCCUGCUUGACCAAAAUAUUGGGAACGGCACCAUCGUACCAAGGCCAACAUCCCUACCUCCCUCUUCAACUCCCACCCAACACAAUUGUGGUUCCUUCACGGCUGCCUCCCAGCCAAAUCCGGCCGCCACCAACCAUCACGUGCUCGCCUUGGUCUCCUCUUUCUCCCUGAAAAAGUCUACCAGGUUCAAGGGCAGAGCCAUAGAUUUAGCCUCUAAAAAUAGGCUCUGAACGAAUUUAACCAUGAUGUGCACGCAAGGGCAGUGAUGCCUUUUACUACUUGAGAGGCCCAACAAGCCACUAGAUGCUACAAGUCGCUCCUUAGCGUGGAUAAGUAGUGCCACCUGGCCAGCGGCAGGAAGUCCACCGAUCGUUGGGAUCUGCUUCAUGGAUGGCGCCUGGAAGAAGCUCAAUGACCAGACCAUCGUCCUCUCCAAGAGGAGGCUACGGCUAGCUCACCACAGCUCGCUCCUCCCUGUUUCUUCUUCGAUGACUGUCUAUAUAAACACAAAAUUUACUUCAUGUGGUGUGCCCAUAUAGUGUGGAUGACUAAUUGAUAUCGUCAGAAGUUCAUUAUCAUUGACAUGCAAUUAAUGUAUUUUCACAAGAUACUCUCUUGGUUAACUGCGAAUAGCAUUAGCUGCCAACUGCUAGCGCUAGGUUGUGGGUAGAUUAGAUGAUUCGGUUAUCUGAGCAGCUGCUGAACUGUCGAACCGUGUGUUUUUAUCACCGGAACUUCUGCGAGCCAUGUUUCUCGCAUCCCAUUUGUUCUGUGCAUUCCUCCGAUAUAUGUGAUGUGCAACUUCUAUAAUAAUUCUUUGAAGAGGAA